AGUGAUGAAUAAAAUUUUAAAGAUACAAAAUAGCUUUAAUCUAAUUUAAUGAAGUGACGAUUACAGAUAUUUUGCAUAUAAUGUUUAUCUGCAUAUCUAAGAAAAUGAAAAAGUGGCAGUAAGGUUUGAAAAUACAUUCGCAGUUGAAGAGCAGAAGGAGAAAGGAAGGCGUGUUUUCAGUUUGUACUUUACAGCCAUAGCCGCAAAAUUGGUUGUCGACCCAUUCAAUCACCAACUCCAGGUUGCAAUAAGAUAGCCUAGCGGACCAAACCACAUCGUAUUGUUUAAUAAUUUUGCUUUUCCUAUAAACUCUCCCCUCAACAGUUAAUUAAGCUGUUUAAAUUCAAUUUCACUUCAAACUUCAAAUUAAUCAUCUUAUCUCCUUUCGCUAUAUCCUAAUCACCAUAGAUAGAAUCUUUGAACUUUGAAGUUUGAAGACACCUUUUCCUUCUUUUUCUUCUUCAUCUUCUCCUUCUCCUUCUUCUUUUCUCCGUCUUCGUCGCUUAUGUGCAAGACAAAGAUGGCCACGAACGCCGCAAGUCCCACUCCCACACCGCGAUCACAACAACGCUCCACCCAAAGCCCAACAACAUCCUCCCCAAGCUCCACACUCAGGCCCAAUCCUCGGCCCACCACUUCUUUCUCAGACAAACCCUCUACCUCUUACGCCUCCACCGCCAGCGCUCCCUACAGCGGCUCCACCGGCUACCGUCUCUCCUCCGACACCUCCAUUGCCAGCCGCACCUCCCUCACCUCUCUUCGCGACACGCUCCCAGAAAACCCUCACAUCUACGACUUCUCCGAAAUCUGCGCCGCCACCAACAACUUCCUCGCCAAGCGACACUCCUCCUCCACCCCCUGCUGGCGCUGCACUCUCCGCGGAGCAGACGUCAUUGUCUUCCAGCGCAAGUUCAUUCGCAAACUCCAGACGAAUGAGCUCCAGCAACUGCUCUCCGUCGUCUGCCGCAGCCACCACGUCAGCAUCAUCAAACUCCUCGGCGCCUCCGUCUCCGGCGACCACAUCUACCUCGUCUACGACUUCGUCAACGGCGCCAGCCUCUCCGAUUGUCUUCGCAACAAGAACAACCCGCGCUUCACCGUUCUCUCCACAUGGAUGUCGCGAAUGCAGGUCGCCACGGAUCUCGCUCACGCACUCGAUUACAUUCACAACAAAACCGGUUUGAACAUCAAUUUCGUCCACAACCGUAUCAAAUCUAGCGGCAUCAUCGUCACGGAACCUUCUUUCAACGCUAGGGUUUGCCAUUUCGGCACCGCGCAGCUCUGCGGCGAAAUCGACCUCGAAAACGAACAAUUAGGUGAAAUCAGCGAGAUAGGGGAGAAUUUUCCGCCGUCCCCGGCGAGAUCCAGGCAAUUCGAGGGCGUGCGGGGGUACAUGGCGCCGGAAUUUCAAGCCUCCGGCGUUGCGACUCAGAGGUCUGAUAUAUACGCUUUCGGAGUGGUGAUGUUGGAGCUCCUGUCCGGGGAGGAGCCACUGAAGUUUAAAUAUGACGAGAAGACGCGCGGAUUUUUGAGGACAUCGGUGAUCGAGACGGCGAGAGGCGUGGUUGACGGCGGCGAUGGUGGCGUGCAGGGGAAGCUGAGGAAGUGGGUUGAUCAGAGAUUGAAAGAUUCGUUUCCCGUGGACGUAGCGGAGAAGCUGACACGUGUGGCGCUGGAGUGCGUACACGUGGAUCCGGAUAAGCGACCGAACAUGGGACACGUUGCAGGGAAGAUCUCGAAGUUUUAUUUGAAGUCGAGGAUGUGGUCGGACAGUAUUAAGGUUCCUGAUAUCACUGUUUCGUUGGGUCCUCGUUGAGUUGUUCAUGUUGGCGGCGGCUUUGUGUUUUUUAAUUAAAGUGAAAGGUCGUUGAUUUCACAAGAUAGAACUGAAGAGUAUCACUGUUUUUAAAUUGAUAUUGAAAUUAAGAAUAUUCUUUGUCUUUCUGAAAUUGAUUGUUUCUUGAAUUAAGUUGGUUCUAAUGCUUUGAUUGCGACUGGAGUUCUGCAAUAUGAAUUUUUUAAUCGGUCACGCUCGGAAACAUUAGUAAAAUAAAACACGCCUUUUAUUACUUUCAGAUUUGAAUUUCAAAGGUGGAAUAGAUAGUGUUGGUGGUGGUAUCAUCGCAAAUACCAAACAAAGUCUUCUCUAUUAUUUUCAGACUCCUUUUCUCUAGUUUAAUUUUUUCAUUAACCAAUUUAUGUUAUGUGUUAUUAUCGGAAGUCUGAGAUCGUUUAAAGAUAAAGUCAACUUAUAAUAUAUAAGUGAGAUUUAAAUUUUAUUUUAUAAAUCAGUUUUGUGAAGUUGAAUUAAAUUUAAAAACUCACUUUCUAAUAGUUAUUAUCUUGUUUUGCCAUUUUUUACCUUUUAUCCAUAUAAAUAAAUUGGAGCUUUAUUAGUUAAUGUAGAUGAUAUCACGAUUAAUUAAACUAACAUAUAUUUUUAUUACUUUAUUAAAAACAUCUUAAAUUCGCUUUUAUUAUUAGUGGUGAUACCAAUAAUUCUUUAAUGAUUAUAAAUGAGGACAUAAUAUUCAUAUUUGAAAACAUGUUAGAUUCGCUCUUACUUGAAUUAUUAGUGGUGAUGAUAAUAAUUUUUUAAUGAUUAUAGAUGACAACAUAAUAUUCGUUAAUAAGUAUGAUGAUUUUUUCAUUAACCAACUUAUAUUGCUAUUAUCUUAUUCUGUCAUUUUGUUUACUUUUUAUCCACAUAAAUAAAUGUGAGGUUUAUUAGUUAGUGUAAAUGAUAUUACGAUUAAUUAAACUAACAGAUAUUUUUAUUACUUUUAUUGAAAACAUGUUAGAUUUGCGUUUAUUGUUAGUGGUGAUGAAAAUAAUUAUUCAAUGAAUAUAGAUGAGGAUUAAAAAUAUAAAUAUAAAACUUAAUUCAGGUAUUCCAUAAAUUAACGUCUUCUUAAUAUCAUUAAAGUUAAAAUAUCUAUAGUUUUGAAUUUGAAUUUGAAAAGGUAUAUACCUGAAUUAGGGAUGAAAACGGAUCGGGUCGGGUUGGGCACGGAUAGUGCUUACCUACAACUCGACUCGACAAAAGAAAUCUACCCGUUACCCAAUCCGCUACUCGAUCUGCUAUCCGUACGGAUACCCACUUAAAAUAUAUCUGCAGAUAUUUUAAAACUCGCGAAUACGUGCAAAUAUUUAAAAAAAAAUAUUUUUAUAAAUUAUUAAAAUAAAAUUUAAAUAUAAUUAAAAUAUAUAUAUAUAUAAUAUAAAUUAAAUUAAAUUAAAUAUAAAUUAAAAUUUAAUUUUUGUUUCGGUUGAAUUUGUCUGAGGGUCGGUCGUCCUUCUUUUCUUUGUUCUCUUUUGAUCUUCAAUCCUUCCCGAGAAUGUCAUCCGCUCCUUUUUGACGUGCAAAAAACACUCUGACGCUCAAGAUAUAAAAAGGUCUAAAUUUUAUUAUGAUAGAAGAAGAAGAUUGUACCUAGACAUCAAUUGUAUUAUUUAUAGAGUUUAUGAUAGGCAAGUCCAUUGAUUAACCAUUAGUACAGUAUAUUUUUAGUCAAUCAAACCCAAUAAUCAAUAAUUAAUUCGUAUAUUUUUUUUUGUAAAGAGUAAGACAAUAUGACCUAUUAAUAUUGUCCAUAAAUGACAAUUAAUUUUGAUCGGUAUAAUUCAUAUAGUACAAUUUUAAUCAAAUUUAACCUUGUAAAAUAUAAAUUAAUGUUAAUUUUAAUUAAAUUUAUCUUAAUAAAAUAAAAAUUAAAUUUUUAUUUUUUUUUGUGGAUAGCGGGUAUCAGUGGGUACAAAUAGUAUAAUAUCCGCAUCCGACCCGUUUAUAAGCGGGUAUUAAAAUACCCGCUAUCCGCAGAUUCCAAGUAGUAAAUAUCUACAGGUACCCGUCGCAGAUUUUAUGUGCGGAUAUCCGCGAACACAAAUUUUUUUGACAUCCCUAACCUGAACAUACUAAGAUGACUAUAAAUAAUAAAUCAUAUUUAAUGUUUAAUUAAAGAUAUUUAAAAUUAUAUUUACUCUUUUUUAUCUGUUUUAAUAAUGAAAAAAAGUGUUCAUUUUAAUAAAACGUUUGCUAUUACUUUUUCUAUCAUAUUUUUAGUCCAUUAAAUAAUUUAUAAAUGAUUUACACAUAUUUCUUUAUUGUAUUAGAUAUAGAGAUAAAGUAAUAAAAUAAGAAAAUCUACCAGAAUUUUAUUAGAAUAAAAAUAUUAUUAUAUAUUCUUCUUCUCCCAAAAAUAACUUUGAAAAACGUAUACAAAAGGAAAGGGUGAAGUAUAUAUCUACAUUUAUGCUUAUUAAAUAUUUCUUAAUCCAUGAGCAUUAACUUAAACAUUACUAAUUAUUGUUAAUUGUCAGACUUUUAAAAUAUAUUUUAGCUGUCAUCUUUAAAUUUAAAUCCAACAUUUAUUAUUCUUUUGCGAUUUAUGUCUAUAUAAUGUGGUAUAAAAAAAGAAAGUAGAAUAGAAAAUUUUAUAAAUAUUUUACCAAGUUCCGAGAAAAUUUAUUACAUGUAUCCGUUCUUCAAAAAAAUCUUAAAUGACAAUUACAAAGAAAAAGACAUAUUUUAUUUCACCUCACGGUAAUGGCAAUUUUAACCAAGUGACAAAUUUUUAAAUUAAUUAAUAAUUAAGCAUUAAUAUUUUAUUUAAUCUGUUUCCAAAUUAAUUAAUAAUUAUUCUCCCUCUCUUAAAAAAAUAUUGUAUUUAUUAAAAAACAGAAAAAAGUUAUUAAAAUAAAAUUACUUCAAUGAUAAUACAUUCACUGUUAUUAUUAAUAUACGUGAAAGAACCUUAAAUUGCAAUCACUGUGGACCAAGAUAACACUCCAUUGAUCCCAGUGUGGCCUGAAGUUUCUUGAACACAACUUAAGAUUUUUUAAAUAUAAUUGUAUAGAAAUAAUCUCACUUGAAAUAAAUGGAUAAUCAUUUUGGAAAAGGAAAAAAAAAACAUUAAUGUUUAAAAAGUGAGACAAUAAGAUAUUUUCUUGUAAAAUUGUUAGGGAUGGACAAAUAAAACUGUAUUGUACCGAACGAUUAAAAAGUGAACUAAAAACUAGUUUGUUUAAACUGAACUGAACGGUUUUUUGUUUUAUCAAACUGAACUAAUUGUAUUAUACUAAAUUGUACUAAACUACAAUAUAAACUGAACUACUAACUGAACUAUACUAAAUUGUACUAAAUUACAAUAUAAACUGAAUUAAAAUAUACUAACUAAAUUCUAAACUUCACUAAUUUUAUAAACUGAUUUUUUAUAUUUUUACUUAAACUUAAGAUUUUCACUCAUGAAUAAAUAGCAAAACUAUGUUUUUUUAAUUUUAUUUUCGUUCAAACAAAUGACGUUUUUUCAAAAUAAUUUUUGAAAAAACUUAAAAAGUCACUUAAGUCAUACAAUGUUUUACUUAUUUUCUGUUUUAUUUAUAUUUUCAUAAUAAUAUGAUUUUUAGUGGAGAAACCAUUUAUUAAUAAUUACUCUACAAGAAAAUAAUAUUAUAAAUUCUAGGAUAGGAUAUAUUAUAAAUAAUUCACAGUAUAUAAAAAAUAUAUUACCGUACUUCUUGUCCAAUAUAUAUGUAAUUUGCAUAUAUAUAUAUAUAUAUAUAUAUAUAAGUAAUUUACAUAUGAAAGUGCAGUGUACAUUCAUUAAUACAUAAUUUACAAUGUUUAUUGAUAAAAUAUAUAAAAAUUUGUGAUAUAAGUUUUUUUUUUAAAAAAAAAAUUAAUUAUUAAUUUUUUUUAUGUGAAUUAUUUCUUUUAUUAAUAUUUUAUUAUUAAAUAACGUUUUUUGCAACAGUUGAACGGAAACUAGAGAAGAAAAAAGAGUAGAUACCGUUUUCGCAGUUAAGUGAACCGAAACUAUUAUAAGUUUAGUUUUUAAAAACUGAACCAUAAAAUAGUAUACUGAACUUUUAAUAAAAGUGGAUCAAUCUUUUUUUAAGUAUAAUAGUACAGUACAAAUAUGUUAUUUUUUACCAGUCCUAAAAAUUGUAAUUAUAUUUUAAAAAAUAUUAAAUAAAAAGUUGCAUUAGUUUCUUAUGUAGUUAAACUCAAAUAUCUUAUUAUAUUUAUGGAGUGAUCAUCCAAUAGUAAGUAUUUUGUGGUAUUAUUGGAUAAUGUAUUAAUGUUGUAUUGCCUAAGUGUUAGUUUAAUGAGAAGAAAAUAUUUUUUUUAAAGGAGAGAUUAAAUUAGCAUGAGAGGAUAUGAGAAGUGAAAGAUUGACAAAGAGGAUUAUGUAUGGGACAUUCCAGACAACAAUUCAAUUGUAAUUGAUCUGAGAAGCCUCUUUGCAUAUUUGUUCAUUAUUAUAUUUUGUCUUAUCUAGAAACCAGACAAAUGUUUAGGUUUGACGUUUUGGUUGAUACAUGGUAAUAACUAUUUGUAAUCAGCAUAUCUAAAAACACACCAAAGCGUAGUGAUAUUAACGCAUGAAUAAACAUAUGAAUGAUAUUUGAGAUGGGAUAGGAAGAGAAAGAUAGAAGAAAAUAGAUUUUGCAACAAGAAUUUGAGUAAGACUAAAUAAUAAAAGUAAACCUCUGAAUUUGUUUCCUAGGAUGUGUGGAUUAAUAGUAUUUAUGCACUUUGCUUAUGUGUCUACACAGUUUAAACCAUGGUUAAAUUUGAUAGUUUAAUUGUCACAAAAUCCUAAAUCAGAAUGUUGCAUCCACUCAAAGUCGAAAUGGAAAGGGGGAAUGGGCUGUUCUGUCCUUGCAACCGCAGCAAUGGUGACUAAGUUGGUAUCCUGAGCAGCAAUUGUGUCUAGUGGCACCAAGGUUGUGGUGGUGUUGGCCAUUAAGGUGGCGGCACUGUCCACCGAGGAUGUGAUGGAAGGCACAAUGCCGGUACCAGUGGCGGCCACAAUGGCAGGUUCAGCCUUGUGUAAGAGCCAUUCGAUGGUCUCACCGUCGGUUUUCUUGCCUAGCUCACGGGUGAGUUGGAAGAUACGAGCAGCACAGAUUGCUGAUAGACGAACUCGACGGUCUCUUCCAUUUACCUUGAUGUGGCGGUCCCUCUUCAUACCUCUGGAAGAACCUCUCUUGUUUCUCACCAUUGAAGAACCUUCAUUAACUGAAAAAGAUUCAUAUUCUCUCUCUACUACACUUAUGUUAUUCACUGAACCCAUUGAAUUCAUGGUUUUGAUCAUCCAGUAUUAGCUGCAGCAGCAGGUUUAUAUAAACUGGUUUUUCAUACUCCUUACUCAGUAAGAAUAUUAUAUUACUAUUAAUAUUAAUGUUAUUACUAAUUAUUAAUAUUAUUAAUGUUAAUAUUAUUAAUGUUAAUAUUAUUAUAUUACACACAAUUAUGAGGGCAGGGAUUGACUGCAGUGUUUAUUCUUAAGAUUCAUAAUGAUAAUUAAUCAGGCCAGCGCAUGAUCAGAGUUUGAAUAUCUGGUUUUCUGAAACUUGUAUGGGGUAAAGUCAUUAAUACUUUUUUGUAACUCCCUCUUGAAGUAAUUAAGCAUGAGGGCAUCAUCCAUAGGAAACAAGGAGCGUAAGAGGUUUCCAUUCAAAUUUGGCCUGUGUUAACCAGUGGCGCCUUUAGAAAGUGAAAUUGCCGUUACCAAAUGCACUGAGAAUAAGCCAUGGCAACCGUUUUGCAGUCACUGAUGGCACUACAGUUCAAAUUUUCAACGUUCUUAGUUGUCUUCUCUGCAUGGACUUUAACAAAAGCUGAGUAAAUAAUCGCUAUCCUCUCCAUAAACAACCCAGUUAUUUAUAAGAUAUUAAAUAAGAGAGGGGUAUAUUUAUUUCCGUUAAUGAACCACAUUGUACUUGGAAACAUAGUCAAAUACACUUUGAUGAAAUGUUAGAAACAUAUUCUUUACUAUUUAAUGUAAUUUAUUGAAAAUUACAAAAUUGUGUUAAUAAGUUUCACUGUCUAACUCAUGAUUUGUAGUUCCUAAUAAAUUUAUUUAACGUGCAAUAGAAAAUGUAGAGAAGCAUGUUUAAAUAGUGUGUUGCUAACACUGAUCUCACUAAGAACCUAAGAUUGUGAGUGAAAUUAGUCCAAUUCUAUAUACCGAGGCCGCUGCACCCUUCAUGUGAAAGCACUACAUAUCUGUGUUCUGAUUUUAUGUGGGCAAAUUAUUUAUUAAAUAACAUUUAUUUUCACUCCAUGUAAGGGAGGAAAAAAACCUCAUUUCACAGAAAGAGCCGGUGCUUAUUUGGAUGUCAGUGUCACUCUACAGUUUCUUCUACAGGUUCAUAGUUAUUAACUUCUUAUGGUUCGAGAUGCUCUUGUACAGAAAAAAUUCGAACCUUGAUUUCACACUUCAAUUUAACAUGUUUGUCUACAACCCUCAACAAAGUAAUGCUGACAAUAAUAUUAACACUAAUUAGAACAUACCGCACAGUUUUCUCUGUACAGAAUCCAUUUCAGCCACACAUGUAUCUCCAUGACCACUCACGCAAAGGAUUGAUGAUUAUCUCCAUAUCAAGAUCUGGGACCUCGGAUUAGUGUUAACGUCAUGUGUAUUCUUUUUGUUAUUCUGCAUAUCAUAUUCGUGGCAAAACAAAAACUCCGUGAUUCGGCAAAAAUAAUGGAUCACGCUACUCAUUUCACUGGGUUUUCUUCCAACAUAUCUUCAUCACAGUUGUGAGGAAGACUAAAAUCUGACACCUCUUCAAUAUCAUCUUCAGGCUAAUAAUGAGAGAUAUACAACCAAUAUGGUUACCAAAACAAAAUAAGAUGAAAAUGUCGAACACAUUCAAGACAGUCAACCUACCUGCCAUAAUUCCAAUAGCUGCCAUAACAAGAAACCAACAAUCAUGACCAAGCAAAACAGCUUGCCCGCCCACGCUCCACAGAAGAGAUAUCUACAAGAACAGAGACUGUCAGCACAGGUAGAAGUAACUCCUUAGGUCAUUACAGCAAGUAUACUUUAAAAUUGAAAUGGCAUCAGUCUUUGAAUAAAGAGGAAAAUCUUAGAAUUAUCAUAAUCAUAAUAAUAUCAUGGUAUUAAGCUGUUGAAUGAAGAUCCAGAAAUACAUUUCUAUACCAAGUGUCAACAAGCAUGUGUUACUAGCAGAUUAAACAAAGUUAUGGUGAAGUGGUUAACAAGGUCACAUAAGUCAAAACUGAAUGAACAUUGGAGUUCCUAUUACCGUAUCAACUCUAUGUUAGCAUCGCAAGCAAAUUGAACCAAUGAUGUUUAGAGAGUACCGUGAGAGUCUUUCAAGAAGAUUUUGGUUGGAGCACUUCAAAGCACGAUCAUAUACAAUUUCAGUCCUUUUGGCAACAUCAUGCCAGUUGUAGAGUUCUCUCAUCUACAAAAAUUAACAUUAAAAGAGGGUCUAACUUAGCCACUAAAUGCAUCCGAAAGACUACGUCAUCAACAACUCACUCGAUUAUGCAUGACUUGCGGAUCAAUCUUUGGCAGCAUAGAUAUUGCCUUUUGAAUUGCAUGCACCAUAUCACCAGGAUCAGGCUCUGCCAAAACAAUCAUUUCAUCGGGCAAAACCUAUAAGCAAAGAAGCUAAUUGGUAUAAAGUCCCUCAAGAUAGCAGUAUAUAUUCUUAAACUGAACCAGUAUAGAGGGAAAUACUUUGCAUCUACCUCAGGAACUCCUCCGACUCUUGUGCUCACUGUCAAUAAUCCACAACUUGCAGCUUCUAAUAUGGCUAUACAAAAAGCUUCUGUUAAAGAACUGAAACAGUGCAAACAUUAUUAAUGAUUAAAAUAUAUAUGCAAUUAAGCAUUGUAACAGUAGCUAACAUGAGAACCCGUAACAAUGAAAGAACUCUAGCGCCUAGGACUGCCCAAUGUCCACACUUAGACAACAGAACUAUAAAUCCAUUGUUCCAAAGCUUAAGAUAAAAAGAGAUUUGCUACAGGAGCCAAACCUGUUUAAGAAGAUGUGCCCAGAUAUCAGAACAGAUCGAACUUGUACAUGUUGCACAGCUCCCAACAUUUCCACUCGAUCUUGAAGCGAAUGCUUUUCUCUCAUCUCUUCCAACCUCACACGCUUAGGUCCAUCACCUCCAAUAAUGAAACGAACCUUCGAAUGGAUAUGUGUUAUGCCUUUGAAAGCAUAUGAUUAAAAAAGAAGAAACUAAUCAAAUCAUUUCUAUAGCAUUACAUAUUUCUCUUGGAACUUGCUUCUGGUAUGUGCACACUAUAAUGUUAAUGAUAAUAUAUGCCUAAAUCUGCCAAACACGGCUAUUUGUUCUGUCAAUAGAUAAAAAGUUACAUCACAGCGCAGACACAUGCCUGAAAAUUUUUUGGAAAUAUAAGCAGAAAGUUCAUUCCCGAGCACUUUUCAAAGGAUUAGUACUGUCUGCAUUGGCCAAAGUACCAUACAAUCUUCAAAAGAAAUGCCUAUAUACUAACUAUCUGAAUGCAGCCCAAGUUGGAUAUUCAUGUACAUUUUUUUACUGAAUAUUGUAAGAGGAGGAUCGGGGAACAUCGAUCUUUCAUCACCUAUUUAAGCUUGGAUUUUAAAAUUAAAUGAGAUCUCUCACACAUGUCUGAGUUAGCUGAUAAGAAUUUAUUGAUAUUGAACAAUAAAUGACAAAAUUAAGAAAACUAUUUUUUACUAACAUUCCUCUGUGCCCUAUGUAAUUCUUCAUCAUGAAAGUAGUCUCCUGUAUGAAACUAUAUGACGCCCAAUUUUCAAUCAGAUGGUAAUUCUCCAACUCAUCAGAAAGCAUUAUGAAAAUAACUCAUUAGGGAAUGCUGUGGCUUUAUAAUCACAGCUGAUAAACCAUUGCAUCACAUGUUUAUUAUUGCUAAAAACUCAAAAAUUCAAGGAUCUAAAAUUACAAAAAACAGAUAUUUAGUGAUAGCACGAAUUACAAAAUUAUAAUCCUACACAUAGAAUUGAAGAAAAGGCACAGGUACUUCAGGUAUUGCAUAUAUUUGAUACACAAACUAAAGCCAUGAAGACCAGUACUUGGGCUUUUCUCAACAGCAUCUAUAAUAUCAUUCAGUCAGACCAACAGAAAAAGUGCACACUGAAAUUUUACCAAAGUUUGCAACUUUGAACACUGUAAUAUAAAGCUAAAGCACUCUGAACAGAGCGUUUAGCUUAUUCACAUCUCUUCCAUGUAAGAAACUGAAAUCAAAAUUUCCUACUUAUGCAGGGCAAAUUAACAGUGUUUUCAUCAUCAACUCACAUUAGGAUGUAAUCGGCAUACUUCUGGAAUGACUUCAACAAGUAAAUCAACUCCCUUUCGAUAAACCAAUCUGCUGAUAACAACAAUAACAAUUUCUGGUCCGCUUGGACGAUUCACUGCAGGCUUGAAAAUGGCAGUGUCCACAGCAUUAGGUACGACAAAAACCUUCUCAGGUGGCAAACCUGACCGCAGCACUGUGUUUUCCUUGCUUGUAUGGGAAACACAAAUGGCUUGACUCACAUCUGCCAAGGUAAACUGUAACACCUUGUUCAUGUGAAUACUUCCAACAUCAGAAAAACCAUAUAGUGAAUGAUCUGUAAACACAACCUUGUAUCCCAUGGUUCUUGCAUGCAUAAGAGCUUCAUGACAAAAUGUUGAAAAGGCUUGGUGUCCAUGCACCACUGUAAUUCUUUCUCUGAUAAGAAUAAUUCUAAUAAUUGGUAGUAAUCCAUAGAAGGUUGGUAAUGUAUUCUGCAUAACAAACGGCCUCCAUGGAACAUAGUAGACUUUCAGACCACCAGUCAUAUAUCUGACCCCAGACCGAUUUCCAUAAGAAUGAGUUGCAACCACCACCUGAAUAGUCAUUUUAUUUGAAUUCACUUCAUUACAAACACCCUCAGCAUAAGUAAGAAAAAAGAGUAAGUUACUCUCAUUCCCCUAUAAUUCGCAUUUACAGCAUAAACCUUCCAUCCACAUAUAUAACGGAAACCAAUCUCAUGUGCAACUAGGUCCAAGUGCCGCUAAACCUAAUCAAUUUGUUAACUCAAGUGUCCACUUGGUUUGCAAGUAAAUCAAUUUAUAGAACACGUCCCAAUGCUAAAGAUGAGCUUAAUAUACAGAACUCGUCUAAAUCAACAAUUCAGAAUCAAUUCUACCAAAAUCUAAAACAAACAGGCACUAAAUUGUUGGAUUGUCUACAGUCAGCGUGUACAAGCGUGUUCACUCAUUAGUAACUUAAAAUUGUAAGACGGUUCAUAUUUUAUCUCGAUAAAUCAAAAUCAAAAUUGAAAAUUUGAGAUUUGAGCCACCGAAUCUCAUCAUAAAAAAAAUCAUACUGCUUUGAAUCUAUAUCCCCAGUUUACAGCUACCCAAGCAUGUUGAAUCGGCCUAGUGGAACCUCCAGUUUAGUUCUCAUCAAAAUGAAAGCGUAGUGAGAAAAAAAAAUACAAAAGCUCUCAUAAUUGAAUGAAUGAAAGAAAGAAAAAAAAAGGCUUACCUUGUGGCCUAGCUUGAGCAAACACUGUGAGAGGUAAUAUAUGUGAUUCUCCACACCACCAAAGUUGGGAUAGAAAAAAUCUGACACCAUCAGGAUUCUAUGCUUUUGAGGAUCACCCAUCAUCAUGUCCCCUGACACACGUACAUCUGCCUGCAUCAUAACAGUAAUCGGAGAAAUCAACACGCUAUGGAGGCUCUGCAAACCCUAAUACGAUUGAGAAAUGAAAGACUCAACUAGAGUGAAAGCAACGACUCACUUGAAGACGCUUUAUUGAAUACCCGUGACCUUCCAACAAUGGUGGAAGCAAUGACUGGCUCAAUGAAGAAGCUUGUGUGUCUCACCAGAAAAAGAAUAUGAUCACAAAAUCCUUGCCAGAAAAAUAGAUUUGAAAACCGAGAUUCAGUGUUCAAUCCAAACAGAGAAUGUUACUUUCCAGCGAAAAGAACACAAAAGAAUUUUUCUGCCACUUACCAAUUUUGAACUAGGGUUAAUUUAUCUAAAUAUUUACCAAUCCUAAUAACUUUCAUGUUCCAAAUUUUGCUAAAAUAAAAUAAAAUAAGAAGGGUUAAAUAAGUUUUUAGUCCCGGACGAUUUUAGUCCUUCAACGCUAGAAAACUCUAAUUUUAUUUUUUUUAUCAAAUUUUGUUAACUUUAUCUGUUAUUUCAAACGCGUUUCUCAAUUAACAAUGAAGCAAAAAUGUGUCAAUGUAAAUAAUCCAAAUGUUAUAAUCAAACCGCAAAUAAAAUUUAAAAAAAUUGGUAAAAAUGACUAAAACCAUAGUUUUUUAGAGUUAAAGGACUAAAUUGUACCUUGAAAAGAAUUAAAAAUAUAUUUAACUCAACAUAAAAUAUCACCAUAACAUUUUAAAUAAAUAAAUAGUUUCUCUUAUUGGUGAAAAGAAUAUCGUCUUACACUUAUAUAAAUUAAGAAAUUAUCAACUUUUAUAUAUAUACAUAUAUAUAUAUAUAUAUAUAUAUAUAUAUAUAUAUAUUGAACUCCUGCAAUAAUUAUCUCAUAAAUCCUGUUUUAAUAAACAGUAUAAAAUUAUAUUCAUUAGAAUUUAACGGGGGCUUGCAUGAAACAAUUGGUACUAGUAAGAAAAAUCUUUGACAGUUUUUAGUUACCUAAUAUUGUUGUUAAAACAUAAUACUAAAUUGACGUCAAAUAUAAUUUUUUAAAAAGGUAUUAUAAAUAUUUUUAGUAAUAAAUAAUAGAAAAUAAUAUUUUGGUGAAAGUAUAAAUAUAUACCUUAUAUUCUAUGUAUAUUCCCCAAAAAUAUAGUAUAAACUAUAUAAAAAAUUUGUUACAUACAUAAUAAGGUAUUUCAGUUAUCCGAUUUUAAAAGUGUAGAUAUUGAGUUUCAAAGUUUUCAAAAUUGUAUGAAUUGAGUCUCUUCGAUUAAAUUGACAGAAACAGAAUUACUUCCAAUUAAGGUGGCAAAGGAAUCUGCAUUUUUUCUUCUCUCUCCUCUGUCUUUACCUGAAAUGCUCCAGCUUUUUCUCUCUUUUAUAUUUUUAUUAAAUAUUUUUUCUGCGAAACCUACCUCCAUUAUCAACUUAGAAAGCACCUACAUGCCACCGCCCGCAAAUAAGUUAAUAACCCAACACACACUUCAUGGCAAUAAUAAUAACAAAACUAAUAAAAUUGUGUUGAAAUACUUCACGACCACCCUUUGAAACUACUUUUCUACAAAAUACUUUCGCAUCACAUAGAAUAAGGUUGAAACCAUCAAGUGAAUGUUGGCUCCAUGUUGGUAAAAUAUACAUUGGCAUAUUCGCAAACACAUAGAGUCCAUGUUAUUUGCCCCCACUUUGCCUCAUUUACCUAGGUAUCCAACACAAUUAAACCAUAUAAGGAAAAGCAAAUUAUAAAAUUACAAUAUGAGUAUUUAUUUAACCAGAAACUAGACUUGGUUUCAGUUUGAAUUUCAAAUGUUUGCACAUUUUCUUGUAGGUCUUGUCCAUAUUCUUUCUCAAUGUUUAUAUUUUCAAGGCUAGCUAAGUUCUUCAUAUUUAACAAGUUCAGCACUAGGUGUUUUAUCAUUAUCACUCAGGUUUAAUUGAGAUAGAUUUCUCAACAAGCAUUUGGAUAGGGCUGCGGUUGAGAUAAAGCAUCCAUAUAAACAAGAGAUUCACAAUUUCCAAUAAAAGUUGACGCAUAAUGGUCAUUUUUAGGAUAAAUGGCUUAGGUGCAAUGCUCAAUCUUUAUACAUUUUAUAGAUGAUAAGGUAACACAGUUAUCCGACCAUAAUAUAAAAUAUUAUACUUUACUGUUAUCCAAAAUAACUAUAGAAUUUAAAACUUUACAUACAAGGAGUUAUCAAAACUAUACAUAAAGCUAUUUUAAAGUCCAAUUAUGAUGUAGCAUCCUCGCCCUCCAAAGCCUGCUCUAGAGAAAUCUCCUCUCCCUCUGGUCACAACCAUAGGAUGAUCAUUGCAAAGGAAAAAUACCACACAUACAAAACACAAUCACAAGCAAAAGGGUAAGCUAGAAGUAAAUCAAUUAAUGAUACAUUCAUUUAACUAAACAUUCAUCUAAGGAGCAUACAUACAUAUCAUAACAACAAAACUUUAUACUUGACAAACCAUUGACUUGACUAUCCGGAUUAAUAUGAAUACGUAGCUAUGGCAGUUCAUGCACUUGUUGUGGUAAAACAGUUGGCCUACCCCAAGCUACCACACAAGGUUAGUUCGUUAUCACUCACCUUGGGUCAAGGAAAAGUCUCUAGGCUAGGACCUCCUGCUAUUCUCAUGACAUGCCUUACCCCUCUCUACUUGAGAACGGGUGACCAUUAGAAUGUCAGGAUGAAACCCAAGACCGAGCUUCUCAUAUUCAUACUUGUGACUUUAACAAACAUCACUGAGAUAUUCCUCCUUGGAAUUCUCUUCCACAUCAUUUAGAACCAUAAACCUUACUUUGAUACUUAUAUAACACUCGUUCAAUAUCAUCCAUCAACCACAACCAAGUCAAAUUCAGUAGUUCACAAAACAAGAAACAAAGAAGAAAGGAAAGCAUGAUAACCAGGCACAGCCGCUCAGCGCACACCUUCGCUGAGCGAAUCCAGAUGUUUCUUACACAACAACUCAUCUUGUUGUGCGAAUAAACUCCUAGUGAUACCAGAUCUCAUCCCAAUUCGCUAUGCGAAAGCGCAGACAGUGGUCCAGACCCCCCCCCCCCCUUACCCAAUAAACUCCCAAUGGUACAUGACCACUCGUUGUGCGAAUUUAUUCGUUCAGCGAGUUUGCAUAAUUCUGCGGUACGAAUUCUGCGAAAUUAAGCAACUCAACCCCCCUUUUACUAAUUCUAAUUAUUUUUCCCAACUUCUAACCCUCCUAAAUUGUGUUAUACACCUAAUUGGACUUGACCAAACGUUUAUAAACCUCCCUACCAUUAUUCUAAAGUGUUUAUGGACCAAUUCCUCCUCAACAACAUCAAAUUCACCAACUUAAGGACUCAAAUCACAUUCUACCACUUUUGAAACUAUUUUCAGCAACUUAAGGACUCAAGCAAGUCCUAAUUCCAACACACUAAUUCAGCACUCAACUCCUAAUUCAAAAUUUCACUACUCCACUUCCUCAAAACUAAUUUAAACAAGUAUAACUCACUUAAAUCUCCAUCUAAUCACUCUCAUAACAGAUUCCUCACAUCUCAUAUGACCAAUUACAGAUUUCACAUUAUCCAAUUCAAUUCGCAAUCACCGUUUAUUAAUCUCACAAUCCAGCAGUCAAAUUACAUACACCACAAUUUAGUCAAAAACUUAAAUUUAUUUCAAUCAGCGCCAUAAACAUAGAAUAAUCAAACUUACAUGUCAAACUACUAAUUAAAGCAAUAAUCUAGCUCCCCUUACCUCAGAUCAACAACAAAGCUCAAAGAAACUCCGACCGUUUACUUGUACCGCAAGAAAUUUCAGAGAGCUCAAGAAAAAUAUGGUUCUAGAAAGAUGCAAGUGAUUUAGAUUUGAACCAGAGUUUUAGAAAAUUUUAUUUAUAUUAUAUGAUUAUUUUAAAAUAAAAUGUUUGUCUCAUUAUUUUAAUACACCUAUGUAUUCUAAUAUCCUAUUUUCUAGGUUCUUACGUUGUAAAAGUUCAGAAUUAUAUCAAGGUAAAUAUUUUUUUCGUGUUCAAUUAUAUUUAAUAAAAUUUUAAUAUUUAUACUAAUAAAUUUAAAAUUGUAUACUAAAAAAGUUUGUUAUUGUUUGAUAUUAUAAGAAUCUUUUAGUUAAGGAGGUGAAAAUUGAUUUAUAAAUCUAAACCUUAAAAAAUUGAAAAUUGGUAUCGCCCCUUUCCUAAUCCCUGACAAUGCUUACGAUCUUUAUUGUUCAUUCUAAAAUAUAAUUAAUUUCGAACUUUCUUCAAAAAUCACAGAGUAUCCCAAAGCAUUUAACUAAUUAAUUAUUAUUUUUAAUUCAACCAAUCCUAAAAGGUUGUUCCAUUUUCCUGUUAAAGCUUCCAUUUUUAAUUAUAUCGUGUUCAUUACAGCACGAUAAUGUCUUAUAUUUUGUUCCAAACAAAUUUAAAAGUUUAGGAAAAAAAAAAUAAACAACCUAAUGUUGUUGCAAAAGUAAAAUGAAAUUUAAGGUUCUGUAUGGGCCUUUUUUUCAUUCAUACAUAGCCCAAUAAAAAAAUUAAUGAAAAGUGGAGGGGUGUUUCAUCUUACACCUCCAAGCCUUCAUCUCCACCUCCACAAAUUUCAUUUUUGACCUUCUGAUAACUAAUCUUCCACCUCUAACUUUUUCAAGAAGUUUUAUUUUUAACUCUAAUAAAUAUUUUUCAUAUUUUUUCUCUUUCUUAUUAAAAAUACUCUGCACCACCUUAAUAAUAAUUUAAUUUAAUUUAAAAUUCAAAUAUUAUUUAAUAUAAUUUUAUAUUUUAAUAAUUAUUAAAGUGUGAUUUAUAUUAUAAUAGUAAUUAUAUUAAAUAAUUAAAAUAAAAAUAAUAAUAGUAAAAAUAAAAAUAAAAUAGUAAUAGUUAUAUUAAAAAUAUAUUAAAUUAUAUUAAAAUAUUAAAUAAAUUAAAUAAUUAUUAAAUUUAAAUAUAUUAAAUUAUAUUAAAAUAUUAAAUUAAAUAAUUAUUGAUAACCCUAUACUUCGAAUAUAGAUAUCCGAUGUAGUUGUUUUUAAAAUUCUGUUUUUUAUUUAAAUUUAAUAAUUAUUUUGUUUAAUUUAAUAAUUUAAUAUAUUUUAAUAUAGUAAAUCAAAUUGAUUAUUACUAUUUUAUUUUUAUUUUUAUUAUUUUUAUUUUUAUUUAAUAUAAUUAUUAUUAUUAUAAUAUAAAUCAUACUUUAAUAAUUAUUAAAAUAUAAAAUUAUAUUAAAUAAUAUUUGAAUUUUAAAUUAAAUUAUUAUUAAGAUGGUGUAGAGUGUUUUUAAUAAAAAAGAGAAAAAAUAUGAAAAGAUAUUUAUUAGAGUUAAAAAUGAAACUUUUUGAAAAAACUAAAGUCGCAGGAUCAGUUGUCAGAAGGUUAAAAGUGGAAUUUUUGGAGGUACAGGAUGAAGACUUGGAGGUGUAGGAUGAAACACCCAAAGUGGAGACCGAAAAUGGUUCCCAUUUUACUUUUUUGUUCAAUGUAGUCCUAAAGAAUGUAAUUUGUGUUUUUUUACGUAAUUUGUGUUUAAUUUAGUCCUUUUUACAAACUCCGUGAACCACAAACAAGGACUAAGUUGAACACAAAUUACGUUCUUUAGGACUACGUUGAACAGAAAAAUGACUAAAUUGAAGACAAAUUACGUUUUUUAGGACUAAAGUGAACAGAAAAAACAAAUUGGGACCAUUUUGAAUGUUACCAGCCAAAACUGGGACAAAAAAGGUAUUUUAUCCGUAAAAAAAUUCAAUUCAAUUUUUACCUUCCUUUUUGUUGUUUAAUUAAUUAAAGGACAAAAGAAAUCUAAAUAAACAGCAAAAAUAAUAGUCUAAAUUACAAUUGUUGUUUACUUCUUGAUUUGCAUCCUCUCUUUUUUUUUUUUUCUCAAUUUUACCGUUUCAAUUUUAAAAAAUUAUAAUUGGGUUCAAUUCGAGUUCAAUUCUUAACUUUAUAUUUUAAAUUAGAGUAUUAAGUUUAAGGUUCUACUGAAUCAGAAUAAAAUAAAAAAUAUUAAAAUUUUGACCGAAAUUACAAAUUUUAUACGAGAAUAAAAAUAUGGAAAAUUUUGAGAAAUCAAAAUUGUGACUCAAUAAUGAAAUAAGAACAGAGAUUACUUACUACUUAAUCAAGAUAAUGGCAAUGAUAGAUAUUAGGAAUUGGAAUAAUUAAAUAAGAUUAGUCAGUAUUUACAAAGCGAGCUUUAUAAUAUGAAAGGACUGUAUGCUUUCAUUAGAAUCUGUCAAUCUAAUAUUGAUCUCUCAAAUUAUAGAUUAGUGCGUAUUGGAAGUUUUUGGCUUAUCUUAUUAAGGGAAAAGUUAGUGUGUCCGUCUACAUAUUUUUUACUUUUUAGUUUAUAUAAAUAUUUUGUAAUCAUUUAAUUAACAUUUUUAUUAGGACAAAAUUAAGAUAAUUACUAUUAUUAUGUGUUACAUUAUUCUAGUAUGAUCAAUAGUUGAAAUUUAAUUUAUAAAUAUUUAUAAUUUAAAUUAAAAUAAUAUUGUAUAUUUAUAUUUUCCAAAAAAACUAAAUUAUAUAAAUUAUAGUUUCUAUUUUAGUUAUGAUAAAUAUUUUUAAUUAAUUGAAAGAAAGACUAAGGUACUCUUAUGGGUUAAAAUAGCCAAUCCAGAAUGCUGAAUCGAUGGUCAAUUAAAGAUGGACCCACUUGGGUCAUCUUACAAAUUUGUGGAGCGGACAAUAAUCAUAAUAUUAGAAGUAUAAUUAAGCUCAUUUCAAUGGAAAAAGUAAAAAACAGAUAAACAAAACCGUAACAAAAUUAUAUAUAUAGUUAGUUUAAUUUAAUUUUAAUAUAAAUAAAAUUUAACUCGAUCAAACUUAUAUUUAUAUAUUUUUCAAAUUACUUUUAUGUUUUUAUUAUAUAAUUUGUUAUUAGAAUCUUAUUUUUUCACCAUGAUAGCAAAAUAAAUAUUUUUAUUUUUUUUCACUAAACUUAUAAAACGUUUUGUGACCUAGUAUAUAUUUAUUAUUUAUUACAUAAUUUAUUUACAAAUAUUACUGAUUUUUCUAUUAGCAAAACAAUUUCAUAAAAUACGAGAAGGAAAGAGUUGUUUGCCUCUUUUGUCAUGAAAACACAAAGAAGGUGGUAAUUAUGUUAUAGUGCGAUCAAAACACAUUAGAACAUGUGAGUUGAGUUGGCUCCUCAUAAGUUUGGAUCGGAUUGGGUUGAAAAAAAUUUUUUUUUGAUACGAAUCAAUUAUGAAUUCAACUUAUUAAGAAUUCGCUCAUUCAUGUUGAACCUGUGGUGAGUUAAGUUGGCUUAUCAAGUCACCUAAUUAUUACUUUGUGUUUCAAUAUUAUUAGUUAACACUCUUUUUUAUUGUAUUAUUGAUAAGUAUCCAUUUAAAUGAAUUUUAAGACAAUUUAGACACUUAUCUUGUUUUAAUUUUGUUAACAUUAUAUUUAAUUCACUCUUAUUUAGUUUUUUUUUGUCAGUUCUUUAUAUAAAAUAAAGAAUCAAAGUGGAAAAUGAAAAAAGUAAAAGAAAUUUUAUCAAAAAACAAAUAACAAAUUGACUUUAGCGUUGCUACAACACUAAAAUUGGGACUUGAGCUAUACAAAGAAAGCCACAUAUGAAAGAAAACUUUAAGACCUGACCCGAGGCUUAAGUAAUAAAGAAUCAUUCAUCUAGAGGUAAUUUCAAGAGGCUCGAGCACAGAACACAAGACAUAAGCCAAAGAGGAAACCCACCUUAGGAAGAAACCUCACAAUUGAAGCCAUCAAAAUGUAAGGCUUGAGGCAUAGAGGAAGCCCACCGUGGAAGGAAACCUCAAACAAUCACCUUUGGAAGCAUUUAGAACAUCACUUUUAUGACUUUAGCCAAAAAAAUGUGCAACUGAAGUUGCAGAAAGGCACUUUAGAAAAAUCUAGAGUAAAUCCUUUACACACCCAAAGUUGCGGCUCAAGCCAUGUCCUGAACAAUUAUAAAUAUAAACCUCAAGUCUUCAUUUUAGGCAUUAAGUGGAGGACCAAAAAUGUAGUAAUAGAGUAGGAAUGCGUUUGUGAGGCUCGAAAUAGAUGCUUUGAUUAUAAAUCUUAUGCUUAGAUGUUGUUGGAAUUGCAUUGCAAUAUUUUAUGAGUAGCCGAACUCUCUCGUGUUGAGAUUGGAUGUAAUCAGUUUGACUCUUUGUACUUCUACUUAAUGAAUAUUUAUUUAUGCUUUUAUUCAAUCUAUUUUGUGAAUUGGGUUAUACUUGUUGUUGGACGAACUAAUCACUCGUCUUAUCUAACUUACUAGUGAUUUAGUGAGAAUUGGUCUCAUGUUGUCCAAUCAAUUUUCCUGUGGUCUUCUAGAUGUUGGGAAUAGAUCUAGAUUUUGUCACUAGAAUUACAGUCUUAACAUUAAUGCAUAUGAGCUUAUUAUGCAAGAUGAUUCAAACUUAGUAGACUAGCAAUAGCCUAGGCUCUUGGUGACAGGAAUGGACCUAGGGUGACAAUCAAAGAGAACUCCCAAGUUAGUAAAAUUAUUUGUGUAAGUUCAUAAACAACAACAAUAGUGGUGCAGUGGAAAAGGUGAGAUGAAAAUCACUCAUAACAUCUACUUCAGUCAAUCGAUAUGAUAAAUACUACUAUCAAUAAUUUUCAAAUACGUACUUUCUGUCAAAAUACAAAAAAAAAAAAAAAACCAUCAAUAUGCUUACUAAAUCCUUGUGGAUACGAUUGCCCUUAUUUGGUUGUACUACAAAUGACUUUGUGUACUUUCCAAUAAGUCACACAGGUGAAUAAAUCUUUUAAAAUUUAAUAUUGUGUGAUUUUGGGGAUUAUGAGGCUUAAGCCUAAUGAAAAUAAAAAUCACAACCGAAGUCCAAACUCCGUCAAUUAUAGAUUGGGAUAAAGAAAAAUAUGUUUCAAGAAAGAAAAAUAUUAAAGAUUUGUCCAUUUAAGAAACUAAUAUUUUUGAUGGAAAAGUAACAUAAAAAUUAUCAAUGUUAAGCACUUUUUUGUUUUGCCUUUUGUGUUUGAUUUUGCAUUGUAUCUGGAGUUUAAAAUGAUUUAGGGUUGUAUUGUACUUUUUUCUAUUUUUAAUUGCCUGUAGAGUUUAACAUCUUUUUAGACUGAAACUUAUUUAGAUUUGAAUUAGAAAAAUUUUAUAUUUCUUUAAUUGAUAAAAAAAACUUUUAAUUAAGUGAGCUAACUUGUUUAAUCUACCAACUUGUGAUAGACCAGACCAAGUUUAAAUUUUUUCGAUUCCCUAAUAAAUAAACUGGAUUGGGUUGACUAGCUAUACAAUCAACCCAUGAUGAGUUGGGUCGGGUCAGGUCAGGUGGUUCGUUUUGAUAACACUAUUAUGUUAGGGUGUUGCUCCCUCCACCUCCCCAGGUGGGUCAUGCACCUCCCCACUAUUUUAAUUUAUUUCAAAAAUAUUCUACACCUCUCCACUAUUUUUUUUAUUCCAAAAAUACCCUACACCUUCCCACUAUCCUUAACCAUCUUUCUUUACAUUAAUGGAGUAUUUACAUGGCUCAUUAAUGGAGCAUUUACAUGACUCAAAUUUGAAUUUGUGAUAUAUUUUUUUAAAUAAGUUUGAUUCAAUCUUAUUUUUGCUGCCGAAUAUAUUUUUUUCUUUUCAAAUUACUUAAUAAAUGGUAAAAUUUUGUUCUAAAUUUUUAGAAAAAUGUUUAUAUAUGUGUGUGUUUCUUUUACAUAUAAUAUCUAUAAUUUUUUACAUAAUAUUAUAUUUUAACUCACCGACAUGUUUGACUCAAAUGAUUUGAAUAAAAUAUUUAAUUUAUUAGAUAAAUAAUAUAAAAAUAUUAUUAAAUACUUAAAAUAUAUAAAAAAUAUUUGUUAAAGAUUUAGAAUUUAUUUAAUUCUUUCGUCGUUAUAAAGUCAGUAUAUAAUAAUAAUAUAUCAUUAUUUAUUAUUAAUAUUAUUAUGUUUAUUAUUUUGUAUUUGUAUCUAACUUUUAAUUUUAUAAAAUGGAAAUGGUGGAAGUACUAAUAUUGAAGUUUCCUCUUAAUUUUAUAUUUUUGUAAUAUAUCACAAAUUCAAAUCUGAAUCAUGUAAAUGCUCCAUUAAUAUAGAGAGAAAGAGAAAGAUUGUUAAGGAUAGUGGGGAGGUGUAGGAUAUUGUUGGAAUAAAAGAAAAUAGUAUGAAUGUGUAGAAUAUUUUUAAAAUAAAUUAAAAUAGUGGAGAAGUGCAGGAUCCAUUUGAGGAGAUGAUUUAUAAUAAACUUUAUCAUUUCUUGAGUUAAAUACGAUUUUAGUUUUUAAACCUUAACACGAAAUUGAAAUUCAUCAUUACUCGAAAUUUUUAUAUAUUUUGGUUUUUUAAAUUAAAAGUGAAUAAAUAUAAUUUUUUUAAUCUAGUUCCGUCAAUUUUUUUAAAUGUCAAAUGUUUUCAUGUUUGUAGUUUUUAACAGGAAAUUGAAUUUCGUCCAUGUUUAAAACCUUACUAAAUUUUGGUCACUAAACUUGAAAAAUAAACGUGUAUGGCAUUUUUAACUUAACUAUGUUAAUUUUUUUUUACUUAUCCAUUUCGUUUUUUUAUACCAAUAUAUGAAUUAUUUACUUUGUUCAACCGUUAGAAAUCCUCUUGCAUAACAAUAUUUUACAAAAUUCAAAACAGAAAAUAUCAAAACCAAUAUUUAAUGUAUAUUUGAUUUUUAACACUUUUUUUCACUCGAGAUUAAUAAUGUAAUGUUCAUACCUUAAUAACUUUUUACCAUUCAUGUUAAACAUAUUAAACUACUAUUUUACCAAUAACUCAUACGCACACAUAACUUUAAUAUAUAAAUAAAAUAAUAAUAUUUAAAUAAGUUAUUAAUUAAAUCAAACUAGUUGAUUUAAAAUAAAAAUAUCCAAGGCGAUAUAAUAUUUUAUUUUAAUCUAUUAUUGACUUUUUUUAUUGGUUUCAAACAUAUCUUGUAAUCGUAACUUAUAUAUAAGAAGAUUAAUAAGUUUAUGAUUUUGGUCAUAGUGAGUCUAUUUGAAUGGGAAAUGGAAUUGAGCAUUACCCUACCAUAACUUCUAAAAUAAAUGAUGAUGGCCUUUGUUUUACCACCACAUUUCCUAAGCAAGUGACACAAACACAAACAAAUGUGUCUCAAUUGCUUAAAAAGGCAAAGCUAUACCCUACAUUUGAAGGGUCGCUGCCACAACACCUACAAUAUGGUCCCUUCACAAUUUAAUAACUCCUCUUCUAUUAUGCCUCCGUAUAAUUUAACACGUAUUUUUUUUUUUUUUAUAAAUCUCAUAACUUUUUAAACUCAAUUUUUUUUUUUAAUUUAUGAAAGUAAGCAUUCUAUUUUAAAUGAAAUAUAUCUUUAAAAUAACAUAAAGAAUACAAAUUAUAAAGAGUAAAAACAUGUUUAGAAAACAAUAAAAUAAGACCGCCUAAAUAGGUUUUUUUUUUUCAAGAGACAAACAUAUUACUAUCACUCCUAUCUAGCAUUGAUAAAAAAACUUGAAGCAACGGAUUAAAAGUAUAUUUGUCUACAUAAAUAUUCUCAUAGAAACUAAAAUUACACCUUCAUAAAAAAAAUACAAAAUUAAAAAUAGAUAUUUAAAAACAAAACAAAAAGUUGAAUCAACAAAAGAUUAUUCCACUUAAAAACAAAAGAAAGGAUGAUGUCAAAAUGAUGUCACCAUCUGGUCAAUCCAGUUAUGACUGUGUUGACUCUUUAGUUGAAUAUUGAGUGAUUGUAAAUAAAGUCUCAAUUAGUGAACAGGAAGUUAAACACAAUAUCUUAUAAUAUAUAUAUAUUUUGAGGGACAACUGUGUUGAUACAAUAAAUGCUGCUGUGCUCAGUAUACGAUGAAAUUAUAAUAAAUAACAGAGCCAGGUGAACUUCGAAAUAGGAGGAAGAGGCUCUAAUUUCUUUACCUGAAAAUCGUACAUAGAAUUAUAUCAUUAAAAUUUCAAUCUUAUAAAAUUUUCUUAUUUAAAUAUAUUAACAACAUCUAAAACUUACAAAAAUAGCAAAAAUAUCUUAUUUUAUUUUAUUUUAUAAUAAUGUUUUGUAAUUAUUGGAUUUUGAAAUAUUAAGAUAACUUAGAUGCCAACAUUUAUAGUGAAUUUUGACGUUACUUAGAAAAAUAUAGUAUAACACAACAAAAAUUAGUCAAUAAUAAAUAAAUUAAAAUAAUGUCACAUAUACGUGAGAAGAAUAACGAUAUUUAAAUAAUAUUUUAAUAUGAUUUAAACUGUAAUUUUUUAUUGAUUUAUGCAUGUGUUUAUAAUCAUUAUUUUGAUGGUGAAAUAAUUUUAUAUCAAUAUAAUGACACAUAUUAAAAUAUUGUAGAAAAAUUGAAAGUAGAAGAUAAUAAAUAAAUAAAUAAAAAUUAUUGUAAGUUGACCUUUAAGUAUCUAAAACUAGAAAAAAAAAAAAUUAGAGGGGGAUGAAAAGUGACAGGUGAAGAGGGUGCGUGUCACGUGGGCGGCACUGCUAGGUGAUAUAGCAUUAAAGAAAGUGUACGGAGGGCCCCAAAGCCACGUGAAGGGAGAAUGGAGUGUGUGUGAAAGAGAAGUUUACACGGUUUCCAGUUGUGAGAUGAUCUUCUUGAUUUUCAAAUAUCUCCUAAUAUGAUCUAUAAACAGGAUCGAAAAGUUGUUCUACUAAUAAGUUAUGAUUAACGAAAUGAAAGUACUGUCAGGUAUGUUAGAGAAUGUACUGUGGUGAGUGGACCCAAUGGGUUUUGGACAGAAAGUUGAAAUGGAAGGAUGAAUGUUGGAAGCGUGUGCGUGUUUGUGUGUUGGUGCAAUUAUUCACCACUUGAAGCCGAUUCAUUGCCUAGUUAGUAACGAUCAUCGCAUUCAAUGUUCAACCCCUGCUUCGUCACUGUCCAGGACCACUUCUCUUCUUCUUUUUCUUCUUUCUCUUCUUUCUCACUUUCCUUUUUACUCAUAUCUUCUCUUUCAUCAUCAACCUCAACCUCAAGAGAAUAAUCCAAUCUUUCUGCUAAUUAACACAUAAAUCUCUCUGCUAAUUUUUUUUACUUCCUACACCACCAAGAACAAAGAUAUUCUAUGGUGACUGGUGAUUCUGUUCAUGAGUAAGAAAAAGAAAGACGCAGCGCCAGACCGGUUUGUACGGAUUGGGCCAUGACCUUCUGAUGUGGAACAGGUGGUGGGAGCCUGCAUUUGACAACAGAGCCAAAAAUUUUCUAUAUUCCUUUAAAUAAACAAAUUAUUUUGCUUUUUCAUUUUAAUUUCUUCCACUCUAUUAAAUCAUUACAUCAUGAUGUUGUUUCUAAUUAAUUAAAAAUAAAUUCAAUUUUAAAUAUUUAUAUUUUAAUAUGUUAUUAUAAAUUUCAUUUUUCGAAUUAAAUUAUAUUUUAAGUCUAUUUCUUAAAAUUUAAAUUUUUUUUAUUUAUUAUUUUCUGUUACAUAACAUUAUUUAUUAAUAUUUUUAAGUCCUAAAUUAUUUGUUAAGAAAAAGAGCAAAAUUAACAUAUUAUAUCUUUAUAUUUAUAUGUAUUAAUGAAACAUCUUGUCUGUUCUAAAAAAAUGAACACAAUCACAUGUACAACUUUUUUUUUUUCUUUUUGGAAAAUAACUUUACUUUUUAAUAAACAUUUGACAAUUCAGUACUAAAGAGUAAAAUAUUCAUAAUUUUUUUUUUAUUUUGUAAAGAAAAAAAUAAAAAAAAAAUUAAUAGAUAUAUAUUUUUUUAGUAUCCAAAUAUCAUUAUUUUUCUUACUUGAUUCUCUAUUUUCUUUUAAGCUGUAUUCUUAAAAAAAAAUAGUUACAAGCCGUAAAAAAAUAUUAUUUGCAUCAUAUGUUUUAAAAGAUUUAAAAACAUAUAUUAGUUUUCCUCACACUUUUUUAAAUUUCACAUAUAAAUAAUAAAAAUUAAAAAAGUAAAAGGUAUAAACUCGAAUUAAAGAAAAAUAUUAUUGUUUUCAUUUCAUUAGUUUUUCUUUUCAAACUAAAUAAUUUUGAUAAAGUACAUAUGUCAAGUAUACUCUAUCAUAACAUAUCACUUAACAAAUAAUGAAUCAUUUGAUGGAUGAUGGUAAAUUGUAAAAAUAAAACAUUAAUAAUUCCUUUUUUCCAAAGAGAUUUUUUUAUUAUCAAGAACUAUGGGUAUAUUUUGUAGAUUUAUGGAAAAUAGAAAAAAAAAUAAGUCUUAUUUCAAAAUUUAAUCACGAGUAACAAAAUUUUGAACUAAUUUCUUAAUAAAAAAUAUUAAAUGAAAAUUAUAUUUUAUUUUUAUAAAAUUAAUAACAUAUUUACAAUUAAAUUUUAAUUAGGUUAUUUUUUAAAAUAUAAUAACUAUUGUCAUUAGGAAUACUAUGAUAAAACCAUUGCUUCAAUUAUCAUCUACUUGUCCACAUUAAAACUAAUGUCCGAAAAUUCUUUUGGUAUCAAACUCAAGUCAUAAAAUAAAUGUUAUAUUUUAUAUUUUUUCAUCGUCGAACACUAUUUAAUUGAUUAAAUAAUUUUUUCAAAUUUUAUGUACUAUACAUGUAAAUCGUGCCUCUGGAUUCAGUGAAUUAAAUGUUACAAAGAAUAAUUAAAGUGAAAUAAAAUCAAUUCUAAAAUUAAGGAUACUUUUACUUUUAUUUAUAUAUAUAUAUAUAUAUAUAUAUAUAUAUAUAUAUAUAUAUAUAUAUAUAUAUAUAUAUUUCCAAAAAAAAUAAAAAUUAUAUUAAUAUUAAAUCAACAUAAAAGGUUUAUGUGUAUUAUAAUAUAUUUUUUUAUAUAUAAAAGGCUAACAAAAACCAGAAUAAGUAAUUUUUUAUGCUUUUUUUUUUCAAAUUUAAACACUGUUUACGGUCUAUUAUGCACACAUAUUAUAAACAGUUAAAUGAUAUGUGUACGUAGUGUAAACAAACUGUGAAGGUGUCAAGAAUAUUUUGACCCCUGAUACAGAGAUAAUUAUUAUUUAUGAUGGUGACCUUUGUUGAAAUCAUUCAAUAAGAUAUAUUAAGUAAAUAAUAUAUAAAGUAAAUUAGUCAAUAAGAGAUUAAAUAUUAUUUUUGAGAAUGAUUAAUUUUGAGAAAAAUAAAUAUGAAGUUGAAAUGAUUAAGAUUAUUGAUAAUAUUUACGGACUGUGAUAAAAUUUUCUAACAUAUUGUUUAGUAGAGAAGAUAGCUGAAGUUGACAACAAUAUAAAAACUUUACUUUUAUUUUGUAAAUAUUGUGACGUGUUUGGUGAAAACAAUAAAGAGAAUACAUAUAAUUUUAGAAAUUUUAGAAAUUAUUUUGUUAUUUUUAACCUAUUUUUAUUUAUCUUUUUACACUUCUGUUUCGUCUAUAUAUUUUUUUUAUCAAAACUUUCUGUUUUCGUUAUUCUACCUAUUUAAUUUCAUGCAACAUUAUUUAUCAGUGUAGUGAAAGGAGAAAGUGCUUAUAAUAUAUAUUAAAUCCACCAUAAUAUAUAAUAUGUCAAAUUCAAUUUUAAUAUUUUUACUUAAAUCAUAAAUAAUAAAUAUAAAAAAAAUACAUGUGUCAUUAGUAUUCCAUUUAAGAUUAAUAUCCUAAAGCAUAUAUGUAUUUUUUUUCAAUUUAGCAUUUACGCUAUGAGAGUGAAUCGUGACUGGUCUUUGAGAUAGAAGUUUUUUACAAAGAAAUAACACCAACUUAGAUAAAAAAAAUUGUAUUACUUAAUUUCAAAACCUUAAAAAAAUAUUUAUAAAUCUCUUUUCUUAUAAAAUGUUAUCAUUUUUCUUAUCUAUAUGUAAUAUAUGUAAUAUGAGAUUUAGUUUAAAAUUUAGAAUCACAAUCAUAUACACCUAACAUCAUUGUAAAAUUCUAAUUAGUAUGAAUGUGUGAAUUUUUAUUGCAAUAUAAACAAAUGGAACUAUUUUUGCGAGACCAAGUAUUUAUAUAAGAAAUAGACGCGAAAGUUUUUAUCAUCAUAACAUUUAAGUAUAACUAAAGUGUUUUCAUUUUUAUAUAUAAGCUAUCGUAAUAAAUAAUGAGUUAAAAAAAUACAAAUAGAUAUAAAUAUGGUUUUGAAUAUUUGAGUGUGAAACUAAGAUCAAUUGUCCAUUUUUAUUUUUUUUUAAGUUCAAGUUUUGUUUGGCACAACAAAACUUUUGUGUAUAUUCAAACUCUUUCAAAAUAAUACUUGUAUAAGGUAUUUUGAUGCCAAAAUCAAAUUAAGUUAAACAAAUAAAAAUGAAUGUUGUAAUUAACAUGAAAUUUAUAUUCUUAUCUUAAAUGUUUAUUUAUAUAUUUUGUGGUAAACAUUUAAUUAAAGUUGACCUAACUACUACCUAAACUUAAAUAAUCAUGUUUUGACAUUGAGUUAAUUGAUUUUAGGAUAGAUUUGAUUUAGUACCAUUUAAAUCGAUCAGUCUCAUAUAUAAUCGGACGAUCGGUUAGAUGAUAGUCUAGACUAAACGACUUGUCAUUCGGUCCGAUGUAUGACUAGACGGUCUAUUAUGUGACUGUUUGAAUUCAUCGACUUGCCAUCUAAAUGAUUUGGUUGAUGAUCUGAUCUAAUGUAUAAUUCUCUGAUAUUUAAGUGAUUGUUCGAUCCCAAUAACCUUGUCAUCUUUAAUAGUUAUCAUCUAAAUUAUAGUCAAUCAAACAGUUAUAUUAUACAGAACAAGCAUCAUAUGAGAAUUGAAAAGUUUUAUUUUGUUAACACCUAUACUAAAUUUGAUUAAAAAAAACCUAAAUUUGGUAUAUAAAGAAAGAACAACUCAGGUAAAUUGAUAAAUUUAAAAGAAAAUUUGAAUGAAGUAUUGGAAGUAAGUGGUUGAGGACAAGGGCACAAAAUUGGGGGACCCGUCUUUUACAUUGUAGGACUCCUCUGCCGAAGGGAUGGGGGCACCAUUAGGUAGUGCAUCCCAAUAGACUAUGACAAUGUCGAUGCCACUUUUUUCUAAAUUUUCUGUGUUGAUACUUCUUUUUUAUUUUUCUUUAUGAAAAGGAUUUCUUGAAAGAAACUUCCCAAGCUAGUACCAGAGUAGACCUAUCAGUUUGACUAGUUUGUCAUAACAACUAUUAUUGAACUUUUUUUUUUCUCUUAUAUUUUAUUUGAAGGUUCUAUAGUUUCUAAAGUCUAGUAGUAAAGUCUAGCAUGGAAAUAUUGGAAGACAUUUUUAUAAAAACAAAGACUAUGACAACUACACAGUGAUUGUAGAAAAGAAGUUUCGAAUUGGACUGUGUUCAGGACACAAUUUUCAACUACCUACUAUCAAUGCAUAUUUUCUACCUUUUCAAUCUAAAUCUUUUAUAUUCUUUCCACCAUAGUAAAUUUAAGUUUUUUCUUUAAUGAGGUUUUUUUAUAAAAAAAUUGUUUUGAUCAUUAUCUGUUUUUUUAUAUUUUAAAAUGAAUUUUUGUUAUUUAAUUUUGAAAUUAAUUAGAGGGACAUGUUUUCAUCAUCAUUAUAUAUAUAUAUAUAUAUAUAUAUAUAUAUAUAUAUAUAUAUAUAUAUAUAUAUAUAUAUAUAUAUUAAGAAAUUAUUUUAAAUCUAGUUUAUCUUCACAAAAAAUUAACUUAUAAAACCAUAAUUGGCUCAUUCAUGUAAUGUUGUUCUCACUAUCUUACGCAAAGACAUGUAUAUUUGAAUUUAGAUUCUCUGAUUAGUUUUUUUGGACUAUUUUUUUAAAAUACAAUUAUGUAUACUAAUUAUGAUACUUUAAAAUACAUUAAUUUUUUUUAAUAAAUCAACUUAGUGUAUUUUGAAAGUUCAGUUGUGAGUGUUAACAAAUCAACAAAGAAUCUGAAAUUUGUUCAUUUUAUGCGAGAGAAUUUGUUAGCAAUUGACAUGAUAAGUUAAUUAAAUUUUAUUAAAAUAAACAUUUAUUUAAUAUUAAUAAAUGAAUUUAAAUCUAAUUCAUCUUUAUAAAAUGAAAUUUUAAGAUGAUUUAAAUAGAUAUGAGAUAUCCAACAAUGUAUUUCUACAUAACAAGUAAAAAAAUAACUUAGUUUUAACCUCAUUGAAAAUUUGAGUAUUUUUAAUCGAAUCUAAUAAUAAUAUUUGUUUUAUUGUGUCCAAAAUUUAUAUAUUUUUCAAUCAAUAAAGUGAAGGCUUAAGUUUGUAGUUUAAAAAAAAAAAACAAAAAAGUGCACAAUAAAAAAAAGUGAAGUUUUAAAACAUAAUUAUCUUUAUAACAAUAGACAUUCUUUCGUUUCAUAAAACAUAAUAUAAUAAUAAUUGAUUAUUAUAUUAAGUUAUUUCAAAACUUUUUUCUAAAGAAACCUUUUUCUCUUGCAAAAACCCAAUUAUGUUUUCUAUAUUGUAUCUCCCCAAUCUCACUUUCUUCUCACUGUUUUUCUUAAUUUUCAAUGGCACGUUUUUCAUUCUCACUGUUUUUAUAUUUAUUUAUUUUUGUUCGUCAAAGUCUUUUUUAUUUCAUAUAAUUUAUUAAAUAUUCUCGCAUGGGUUUGUGUAUUAUUUUCUCUUGAAACUGUAUUUAAAACUAUGUGUAAUUCUAAGAUCUGUACUAAUAUUCGUAUUUGGGUCAAAUUCAUUUUUGAUAAAAGCAUUCCAAAUGUUUUGCUCGCAAGUGCACUCAUAACAAACAUAAUCAAGAUAACUAUUCAAUUUUGAGUCCCCAAGUUGAAUUUAAACUUCUUGGAAUCAUAUGAGUAGUGGGAUUUUUACUCAGAUAUUUUGGUCUUCAAUUAAAAGAAUGUUUUUCUAUAAUCCAAUAUAUUUAAAUUAAUUUAAAUAUAAUAAAAUAACCAUGAGACCAUCCAUUAUAUUUAAAUAAAUUUUUAAUUUCUUGAAAUUAUAAAAAAAAAUCAACAACAAACUAAAAUGCCAACUCAACUAAUAAUCCAUAAAUUAGCUCUAAUCUAUUAUUAAAAAAAUUCCUUUUAGGAGACUCAUUCAAGUAAAAAAUAAAAACAAAAUCUUAGCUCCAAAAACAUAUUUUCAAGUCUUUAAUUUACUUUUAAAAACAAUAUAACUCAUGUAUACGUAUAAAAUUAUAUAUCUUAUUAUUAUAUGUUGUAAUUUUAUUAUAUUUAAAUAAUAUUUUAUAUCAUACUUAUUAUUAUUUUAUUAAAUAAAAUAUAUAAUAUAUAGUUUAAUAUAAUUAUUAACUAUAAUCUAUUUAUUAAUUUUAUCAAUUUUUCUGGAAAAAACUUAUAACAUUUAAUAAAACAAUACAUAAUAUAUUUUGAUAAAGUUUCAAACACGACAAAAGAAAUAUGAAAUCUAGCUACAAUAUAAGAAUAUUGAAUUAAUACUAAUAAAAUUCACACUAAUUUUUUUAUAAUUACUAAAUAUUAUAUAUAAAGACAAAUAAAUAAAUGGUAGAAUUUAAGUAUAAAUUUAAGUCAUACAAUAUUAAAAAAAGAAAAAAAACAACAUAUAAUAAAAAAAAUCUAUAAACUUCUUAUUCAUAAAUUCAUUAUUUUAAACUUUUAAAUUGAGAUUAUUUAGUUUUGAUUCAUAUGUAGAAAUUAAAAGUAUCAAGAAAAAUUACUUAUGUUUAGACAAAUAUUUCAACGUCUAUGUUGUAUAGUUUUUCUAUGUAAACAAACAAUCAAGUUCAGUAAAACCUUUUAUAAAGUCUAUAUUAUUUUGAUUAAAAUGUUUGUACAUAGUUGACAAAUUAAAAAUAUUUAGAUUUACCAUAGUGUUAAUUGAAUUUUUCUUCUAUUCAAAAUGAAUUUUUUUUCCAAAAAAAAGUCAAUAUGUUAACUCUGACCGACAGAGCUUUUAUGAAUAUAUUUGACUCAGUUGAUUUUUUCAAUGGAGAACUCAUUCACCUUAAUUUAUGUGGGUCAAAAACAAAAGCAUGUGAAGAGGUUCAAAUUAAUUAACAAAUCUACCGCUUAAUGUGAGAAAUUCAAUUAGAAGAGUUUGUAAUUAAUUUAAAUUCUUACAAAUAAAAAACAAAACAUAUUUAUUCAACAGAAAAGUCAUGAAAUCUUUUAUUUGAGGAAUUAAUAUAUUUUUAUUCUUUAGACAAAUUAUAACAAUCAAUCAACAAUUAAGUUUGAAGUGAUUGAAGGGUUAAAACAUACCUAAGAGUUGUAAUCAUAAAUGAAUAAUAAAGUUGUUAUGGUACAAGCUAGUAAAAAUAUUUAUUAGGUUGAGAUGGAUAUCUCUUGAGUCAAACAAUCUAUUUUGCGUAUACUAGGUCUUGGAUUGGAGACUAAAAAAAAUGUUGGAUGGUUGCAACCUCUUAUUAGGAUUAACAAUCAAUGAAUGUUGUUCAAAUUUAUAAAUUGUUCAACCUAAUUCAAAAUUUGGAAAGAUAGUCUUAAAUGCAUUGCUAUAUGUUUAAGAUAUAUUUAAGGUAAAAUUUGAUAUGUUAAAAGGAGAAAAGAGAAAAAAAGAAAAAAAAAAAAAAAGAGAUGAAUGUCCAUUCCAUGGUGAAUUUGAACUGUGGGAAGAAAAGAUAUAUAUGAACCAAAAGCUAUAAAUAUGAUCAUUGAGCACAUGUGAAAGAAAAAGUAAGAAUAAAAGUGAAAGUAAAGAUAAAAAAUACAGUAAAUAUACAUUUUUAAAAUAACCCAUAUUAAAACUCACUUUUGAGCAAAACUUGAUUGGAUGACACUUCAUUAUGCAAUACUUAAAGAAUCUAUUCUCAUAUUCAAAAUUAAAGCUAAUAAUGACCCUCUCAUAUUUUUCUAUAAAUAAAAUAUCUUAAUAUUAAUAAUAGUAAUAAUAAUAAUAAUAAAUUAUAAAUAUAUUCGUAAAAAAUAUACAUAAUGUGAGCAUUGGCUGUCUAAGUCAACGAUCCAAUCAACUACUAAAUUAAUAACCAACUAAGUUUAAUAGCGUUUAUUUUAUGUUUAUAAACAUGUCAUUAAUGCCACCAAUGCCACUUUUUUCUGGUAAUACUUAGUAUCACCCCAAUAUCACCUAAUUUGUUUCAUGUAUAUAUUUAAUUCAAGUAAUUUUAUGAAAAUGUUAAAUGAAUCUACAUAGCAGCAUAACAGUUUUCGAACUAAAUAUAUGAGUUUUUUGGACUACCUUCGAAUGACUGAAAUUGGGAAUCUUGUAAAAUGUAGUUGUCACACUUUAAAACAUUAAAUAAAAAUAAAGACUUCAACCAUAUAUUAUGUCCUACAUGCCUACAAACCGAAUAUAUAUAUAAAAAAGAAAAAUAUAUUUUAAAUUUGAUAUUAAUACAUGAUUAUACUGUUACAAUUUAUUAAUCUUAGCAAUAAUAAUCUUAUCAAAUGACCAUUUAAUUUUUUUUUAUUUCAUAAAAUAAUGAUGGUUGUAGUGUUAAUAUAAUCCUUCUAUCACAAAACAAUACAUUUAUUAAUUUUUAUUAUUAUAAUUUAGGCUGAAUUCAAAAUGUUUAUAAAAUUUGUUUUAAUUAGAACGUUAGAAUUUAGACUAGCUAUAAAUAAAUAAAUUUAAUGGACCAUUUAUGUAAAGUAAAUAUAAUCAAUAAUGGUUAACAAUAAUAUAUUAAUUUUUUUCUCCCGUAUUAAAAUUGCGCAAGUAUUUAAUUUUAAAAUAUUAAGUUUUAUUAUAUAGAAGGUCAAACUAAAAAACUUAUUAAAACUAUGUCACAGAAUAAACUUUAAAAUAUUUUGUGAUAAAUAUUGGAGCUUUUUAUGUUAAGUUUAUAUCAUAUGAAGAAACACACAUGUAUAUUAAACUCCACUUUUAGAAAAGCCAUUUCUUUUAUUUUAAAAAAUAAAUAUUUAUUUAAGGAAAACCGUGUUGGAUCUGUGUUACGUUAUUAUAAUUGAUGAAAGAUAAAUUUUAAUUAAGGUUAUAAUUUAAAAAUAAUUUUGAAAUGAAAGGAAAAUUGAGGAGGUUAUUUUUUGUGGCGUCAUCCCUCCGCCAAGGAGUUGAAAUUAGGGUUUAGGGGAGAUUAGAAUGAGUAUCUUGGCCACAUAAAACCAGGUACAGUACUAUAUAUACAGCUAAGUCCAACCAAUGGGAAUAUAGAGAAACCAAAUCACCAAUUUCAUUACCAUCACACAGAUUCACCUUCCUCCCCCCUAUAUAUCACUCCCCCAGCCUUCUGCCACUGUUACCAUUCAACAUACACUUCCUUCUCUCUCUCUCUCUCUCUCUCUCUCUCUCUCUCUCUCUCUCUCUCUCCCUCUCUUCCUACCCUUUUUUUUCUUUAGUUUUCUCCAUACUUUUCCUCUCAGCUUUAGAUCUUAGUCGUAUUGGAACAUACUGUGUAUGGUUUUUUUUAUAUCUUAUAUAUCUCUUUAUCUCCUCCUUCCGAUUCUAACUCUGAUCUAUAAUCUAUUUCAAGGCUACAAUAUAAAUAUGAAAUAUUUCGAUGUGCCCUUUUUAUCUUUUGAGAAACUACUCUUCCUAUAAGGAUUUGCCAAGGUACGUGAGUCUUUCCCUUUUCGAGGGAUUACUGUUUGGUUUUGAUUCUAACAUGAAGGGUUAUUCUUUAAAAUCUCUUUUUCUUGUUUACACCAAGCGAAAGUAUGGUUCUUUUUCAUCAACACAGCAAAACCUGUACUUUGUAAAAGUAUGGAUAGCUGGCUUUGAAUCCGGGUUGUUUUGGUUUUGUUCAAUCGUUGGAGGUUCUGAAAGUAAAAAGCGCUUUUGUUGUUCUUUAUGGAGUGGUUGAAUUUUCUUGUUUUCUUUUUUUAUUUAUUUUAAUUGGGGUUUUGGCUUUUCUUUUGUUCUUGAGGUAUGAAUUGAGUUCAUGUGGUUAGAUUCCAUUCGGGGUACCCCAACUGGCCUCGUGUGGCAAACACAGACUGACCACUUGCAACAGGCCACAUCAGCGACUCCUCGUGGCCUUGCUGCUAAAAUUCUACAUAAAAUCUCAAUUUUCCGUGUCCCCUCUUUCUUUUCUAUUUUUUACCCUCUCUUGCUUUCUCUCUGUUUCAUGUUGUUCACCUUUUUUUUUUUUUUUUUAAUUUAUUUUCCCUCUUGACAAAUUUCCGUGACAUUAACUGGUCUUCACUAUUGGAGUAACCUAUUGAGCUUUUUAGCCAUACAUACGUUUCACUAAAAGUGGCAAUAAUGCUUUAUAGCUUCUAAAUAUAUACACAUGUCUAUGUAUGUGCAUACCUCUCUUUUUCAGAAGCUAUAGUUGCAUGGACAGAUUGACAGUCGUUGUUUGCGGAUGUAGCAUCAUCAAGAUUCACAUGCAAAUGAAGGUGGAUGGGACUGUGAUGCAAUCUAAGCGCUGGUCUUUUUGAUGUGAGAAUCUUGAUGAUGCUGCAUCAGCCAUAAACGACUUUAAAAAGUUGAACAAGUACUCCGAGUAGAGACCCCCCCCCCCCAAUUAAAGAGUGAAGAUAAAAAAGAAAGAAAGUGGUAGGUAUACACAUAUACACACACAUACACAGCUCAAACUUCCAGGCAUUGUCCAUGAGUUCAUGAUGCAUUACAAGGAGAGGUGACUCUUUCUGCUUUCCUUUCUGUUGCUGUCAGGUGCCUUUUUUCAUGCAUCUAUCUUUUCUGUUUGCAAUUUGCAGUGCUAAAUUUUUGUUUAUUCACAUUACUGGAUGCCCUUCUUGUCUUUUAAAUAUUAUUUUUCCACACUAAUUAGCCCUUUUUCAUUUGCAGACAGUACUAGGUUAUCGAAUAUUGGCUAUUUGGAUUUUGGAGGCUCAGUGGAGCGGCUGAGUGUUAGGUCCUUUAUAUGCUGACUUCACAGAUCUAUGAAUAUUCCUUUUCAACAGGAAUGCUGCAAGAGAAAUGGUGUCUUUUCAGUUUCUUAAUAUAUAUUCAAACAUCACUUUAUCCAAAUCUUGAGCCAAUAAAGACACACACACAUAAUGCAGAGAGUAAGAGAGAGAAAUUAAUAUUUGGAUUUUAGUUCGCCAUCUCAUGUUUCUCUUGUCAUUGUAUUGUAACAGAUGUUCAGCUUCUGUUAUUCAGAUCCACCCAUCAUACUUAAUCAUCU
rnacentral:lncRNA from 1 species